GAUGAACGCUGGCGGCGUGCCUAAUACAUGCAAGUCGAGCGAACGGACGAGAAGCUUGUUCUUCUGAUGUUAGCGGCGGACGGGCGAGUAACACGUGGAUAACCUACCUAUUAGUCUGGGAUAACUUCGGGAAACCGGAGCUACUACCGGAUCAUAUUUUGAACCGCAUGGUUCAAAAGUGAAAGACGGUUUUGCUGUCACUUAUAGAUGGUUCCGCGCUGCAUUAGCUAGUUGGUAAGGUAACGGCUUACCAAGGCGACGAUGCAUAGCCGACCUGAGAGGGUGAUCGGCCACACUGGAACUGAGACACGGUCCAGACUCCUACGGGAGGCAGCAGUAGGGAAUCUUCCGCAAUGGGCGAAAGCCUGACGGAGCAACGCCGCGUGAGUGAUGAAGGUCUUCGGAUCGUAAAGCUCUGUUAUUAGGGAAGAACAUAUGUGUAAGUAACUGUGCACAUCUUGACGGUACCUAAUCAGAAAGCCACGGCUAACUACGUG
rnacentral:rRNA from 1 species